AUUCAAAACUACGGCCAUACCACCCUGAACACGCCCAAUCUCAUCUGAUCUCAGAAGCUAAGCAGGGUCGGGCCUGGUUAGUACUUGGAUGGG
rnacentral:rRNA from 11 species